GACUUUGGGAUAACUUCAGGAAACUGGGGCUAAUACCGGAUAGGAGCUCCUGCUGCAUGGUGGGGGUUGGAAAGUUUCGGCGGUUGGGGAUGGACUCGCGGCUUAUCAGCUUGUUGGUGGGGUAGUGGCUUACCAAGGCUUUGACGGGUAGCCGGCCUGAGAGGGUGACCGGCCACAUUGGGACUGAGAUACGGCCCAGACUCCUACGGGAGGCAGCAGUGGGGAAUAUUGCACAAUGGGCGGAAGCCUGAUGCAGCAACGCCGCGUGCGGGAUGACGGCCUUCGGGUUGUAAACCGCUUUCGCCUGUGACGAAGCGUGAGUGACGGUAAUGGGUAAAGAAGCACCGGCUAACUACGUGCCAGCAGCCGCGGUGAUACGUAGGGUGCGAGCGUUGUCCGGAUUUAUUGGGCGUAAAGGGCUCGUAGGUGGUUGAUCGCGUCGGAAGUGUAAUCUUGGGGCUUAACCCUGAGCGUGCUUUCGAUACGGGUUGACUUGAGGAAGGUAGGGGAGAAUGGAAUUCCUGGUGGAGCGGUGGAAUGCGCAGAUAUCAGGAGGAACACCAGUGGCGAAGGCGGUUCUCUGGGCCUUUCCUGACGCUGAGGAGCGAAAGCGUGGGGAGCGAACAGGCUUAGAUACCCUGGUAGUCCACGCUGUAAACGGUGGGUACUAGGUGUGGGGUCCAUUCCACGGGUUCCGCGCCGUAGCUAACGCUUUAAGUACCCCGCCUGGGGAGUACGGCCGCAAGGCUAAAACUCAAAGGAAUUGACGGGGCCCCGCACAAGCGGCGGAGCAUGCGGAUUAAUUCGAUGCAACGCGUAGAACCUUAUCUGGGUUUGACAUGGAUCGGGAGUGCUCAGAGAUGGGUGUGCCUCUUUUGGGGUCGGUUCACAGGUGGUGCAUGGCUGUCGUCAGCUCGUGUCGUGAGAUGUUGGGUUAAGUCCCGCAACGAGCGCAACCCUUGUUCACUGUUGCCAGCACGUUAUGGUGGGGACUCAGUGGAGACCGCCGGGGUCAACUCGGAGGAAGGUGGGGAUGACGUCAAGUCAUCAUGCCCCUUAUGUCCAGGGCUUCACGCAUGCUACAAUGGCUGGUACAGAGAGUGGCGAGCCUGUGAGGGUGAGCGAAUCUCGGAAAGCCGGUCUCAGUUCGGAUUGGGGUCUGCAACUCGACCUCAUGAAGUCGGAGUCGCUAGUAAUCGCAGAUCAGCAACGCUGCGGUGAAUACGUUC
rnacentral:rRNA from 1 species